UUGUUGCCCCUGAGCUCACUUCCGUCACCAGCUGAGAUGAAGGAGGUUACUUUCUUCCCGAGUCCUCUGCUGCAGCCCUGUCUGCUUUUUAAUCCACUCUUAAGUUUUUCAGGGGGAUUGUGACCAGCGAGGGAGGCAGGGGGUAGGGGCAGCAGGUGCUGGUGCUACUGAUUUACAUAUGAAAACAACUGAUUGGUCAGCAUCUGCCCUGCUCCCCUCAACCCCGGGAAGGCCCUGAAGCCAGGAUUAUGGUUCACCCCUGGGCACAUCCCACCGGGAGCCCAGUGGAGCCUGGCCCACAGCAGGUGCUCAGCGCGGGUCUGUUCUUCUCGGACCACAGAGAAGCAGACCGGGAUUCUGAGAGUGUCACGCUACUCAUUCGGGAGGAGACCAUCAUCCAAAGCCGCAUCUGUCUGCACAGCCCGGGCUUUGAAGCACCUGGCGGUUUAGUGGCCUGGGAGCAGAUCAUUUCUCCCCCUCGCUUGAUCCGAAAGCAAACCUUCUCCAUCCUGACCGUGCUGUCGAAUUUCCCAAAUCCGCCCCCCCCCCCCCCGCCAGCUGUCAAAAUGCGCAUACCCACACCCCUGGUCCCCGUGGGCCCUGUGAUUCUGCACCUUUACUCGGUUCCCAGGGGGUGCUGAUGUCACCCGGUGUGUGGACUCUACGUUUCCGCAGUUAGAAUUAACUUUCCUCCUCUUCCACUAAAGGAGACCACACACGAGACAAACACAACAGAAGGAAGGGACCCGGGGCCCAGAUCUAACAGGGAGGGCUGGGGAGAGGGCGAGCUGGAAGCCACAUUCCUGUGGGGGCGUGGGGGGGGGGUGCCAUCCAGGAAUUGUAUUCUGACGUUCCCACAGAAUGCUAACUUUCAAGAGAAGCGGAAACCCUGCUUUUAUGUGACGGCUCUCAGUGUGUAUGGGCAGCUAAUUCAAUUUGUUUUUCAACUGUUAGACCAAAGAAAACCCAUCUACCAGCCAGAUGCGGGACUCCAGUUUGCCACUGUCCCUGUAUAGGUCUCUGCUGAGUUUGGAGGGUGUAUGCAGCCUCCCCACUCCCCACACCAAAGGAUCCCAAGCAGCUGGAACUUUUGAUCAAGGACGCUUUUCACAUAUGCUCGACACAGAAAACAGAAACAGAGCUUCUCCGGUUAAACAGAGCGAGGAAGGCGGCUGUAAUUUCUCCAAUUAACAAAGAAGAAUGUAGAAUGCCCAGUUAAAUGUGAAUUUCGGACAAAUAAUGAACGAUUUUUUUUAAAUUUUUUAUUUAUUUUGGGGAGAGAAAGAGUGCG